AUACGGAGGGUGCAAGCGUUGUUCGGAAUUACUGGGCGUAAAGCGCGCGUAGGUGGUCUGUUAUGUCAGAUGUGAAAGUCCACGGCUCAACCGUGGAAGUGCAUUUGAAACUGGCAGACUUGAGUACUGGAGGGGGUAGUGGAAUUCCCGGUGUAGAGGUGAAAUUCGUAGAUAUCGGGAGGAAUACCGGUGGCGAAGGCGACUACCUGGCCAGAUACUGACACUGAGGUGCGAAAGCGUGGGGAGCGAACAGAAUUAGAUACCCCAGUAGUCC
rnacentral:rRNA from 1 species